AACCAUAUCAUGUUGAAACACUGGUUCCAUAUGAUCACCAAAGUUAAGCAACAUCAAGCCUGGUCAGUACAUAGAUGGGUGGCUGCUUGGGAAUACCAGUGGCUGAA